UGGUUUGCUAUCUUACUUUUGCCUGAUGAUUCAUUAAUAGACCUGUUUUUAGCUGCCCGGCUCAAGUGCUGUGGGACUGUAUCCUGUUGAGGAGGUUGUUGUCCACACCUCUGCUUCCAGGCUCGUCUGCAUUUAUGGAAGAGCAGGACCUUGCUGUUUCCUGACACUCCUUUGAGAGCUUAAACUUGGAGUAGCUGUCUCUAAAGUUAGGUUUUUGAUUUUGGAACUGAAUGGUUUCCUUCAUCUGUACACUGCACAUGUGGUAAUAACUGCUCCAGGAGGCUCAGAGGUGGCAGGUCUGCUUCAGAGAGUUUGAAUCUUCUGGAGAAACAGAAUUGACAAGACCUGAAUGUCUAAUAAAAAAAAAAAAACCCUGAGCAGAAAUGAAGACAACCAAAUAAAGUUUAAAAAAUCAGCAAAACAAAAGCUGGCCUGAGGGUUUCAGGCUCUACUUUGUAGGGCAUAAGAAGCAGGUGUAAAAGUAGAGCUGUUUUUACCUCUGCACAUCCCUUUUAUUGGGAGCAUCCCUGAGCACUCCAGCUCCCGGUGGAGGGACUGGGAUUGUAACCUGGAAGCAGCUUGUGAGUGCUUGGGCAGCGCUCACAGCCUGAACUGAGUCAGAGCAGCUGCAUCUUUGGUCAU